UACGAAGGGGGCUAGCGUUGUUCGGAAUUACUGGGCGUAAAGCGCACGUAGGCGGAUUGUUAAGUCGGGGGUGAAAUCCUGAGGCUCAACCUCAGAACUGCCUUCGAUACUGGCAAUCUCGAGUCCGGAAGAGGUUGGUGGAACAGCUAGUGUAGAGGUGAAAUUCGUAGAUAUUAGCUAGAACACCAGUGGCGAAGGCGGCUCACUGGACCGGUAUUGACGCUGAGGUGGCGAAAGCGUGGGGAGCAAACAGG
rnacentral:rRNA from 1 species